GAUGAAGAACGCAGCAAAAUGCGAUAAGUAAUGUGAAUUGCAGAUUUCAGUGAAUCAUCGAAUCUUUGAACGCACAUUGCGCCCGCCAGUAUUCUGGCGGGCAUGCCUGUUCGAGCGUCAUUUCAACCCUCAAGCCCUCGGGUUUGGUGUUGGGGAUCGGCGAGCCUUUCUGGCAAGCCGGCCCCGAAAUCUAGUGGCGGUCUCGCUGCAGCCUCCAUUGCGUAGUAGUAAAACCCUCGCAACUGGAACGCGGCGCGGCCAAGCCGUUAAACCCCCAACUUCUGAAUGUUGACCUCGGAUCAGGUAGGAAUACCCGCUGAACUUAAGCAUAUCAAUAAGCGGAGGA
rnacentral:misc_RNA from 1 species